rnacentral:rRNA from 1 species
UACAGAGGUCUCAAGCGUUGUUCGGAUUCAUUGGGCGUAAAGAGCGUGUAGGCGGCCAGACAAGUCUGCUGUGAAAACUCGAGGCUCAACCUCGAGCUGUCGGUGGAAACUGUCUGGCUAGAGUCCGGAAGAGGAGAGUGGAAUUCCUGGUGUAGCGGUGAAAUGCGCAGAUAUCAGGAAGAACACCUAUGGCGAAGGCAGCUCUCUGGGACGGUACUGGACGCUGAGACGCGAAAGCGUGGGGAGCGAACAGG